rnacentral:rRNA from 1 species
CGCAAUGGGCGAAAGUCUGACGGAGCGACGCCGCGUGGAGGAUGAAGUUCUUCGGAACGUAAACUCCUUUUGCCAGGGAAAAAGUUAUUGAUUGUACCUGGAGAAUAAGAAGUUGCUAAACUCGUGCCAGCAGCGGUAAUACGAGUGCUUCAAGCGUUAUCCGGAAUCAUUGGGCGUAAAGGGUGUGUAGGUGGCGAUAUUAGUCUUUCGUAAAAUCUCUCGGCUCAACCGAGAGUCUGCGAGGGAAACGGUAUUGCUAAGAGGACGAGAGAGGUUUCUGGAACUCAUAGUGUAGCGGUGAAAUGCGUUGAUAUUAUGGGGAACACCAAAAGCGAAGGCAAGAAACUGGCUCGCUCCUGACACUGAAACACGAAAGCGU